AAGCCUUUUGAGAGUGUUAAAUUGAUUUGAAUCCAUUUGAGAGUAUUUGAAAGUGUUCUGAUAAGUUUUGAAUCUUAAAUGUAUAAAAAAUUAGAUUGUAACAAUAUGGAGCGAUCCAUUUGGGUUAUUCCUUUUCAUUGAGUAGCUGAUACGCUUCUUUUUGACUCAUGACAUGCAGUGGGACGAUCCACUUCGGAUGACCCAUGCAGUGGGAUGAUCUACCUGGGACGACCCUUGAGACCCUG
rnacentral:lncRNA from 1 species